CAGCAGCCGCGGUAAAACGGAGGGAGCUAGCGUUGUUCGGAAUUACUGGGCGUAAAGCGCGCGUAGGCGGUUACUCAAGUCAGAGGUGAAAGCCCAGGGCUCAACCCCGGAACUGCCUUUGAAACUAGGUGACUAGAAUCUUGGAGAGGUCAGUGGAAUUCCGAGUGUAGAGGUGAAAUUCGUAGAUAUUCGGAAGAACACCAGUGGCGAAGGCGACUGACUGGACAAGUAUUGACGCUGAGGUGCGAAAGCGUGGGGAGCAAACAGGAUUAGAUACCCCCGUAGUCCCUGUCUCUUAUAU
rnacentral:rRNA from 1 species